GAUGAACGCUAGCGGGAGGCCUAACACAUGCAAGCCGAGCGGUAUUGUUUCUUCGGAAAUGAGAGAGCGGCGUACGGGUGCGGAACACGUGUGCAACCUGCCUUUAUCUGGGGGAUAGCCUUUCGAAAGGAAGAUUAAUACUCCAUAAUAUAUUGAACGGCAUCGUUUAAUAUUGAAAGCUCCGGCGGAUAGAGAUGGGCACGCGCAAGAUUAGCUAGUUGGUGAGGUAACGGCUCACCAAGGCGAUGAUCUUUAGGGGGCCUGAGAGGGUGAUCCCCCACACUGGUACUGAGACACGGACCAGACUCCUACGGGAGGCAGCAGUGAGGAAUAUUGGUCAAUGGGUGCAAGCCUGAACCAGCCAUCCCGCGUGAAGGACGACUGCCCUAUGGGUUGUAAACUUCUUUUGUAUAGGGAUAAACCUACCCUCGUGAGGGUAGCUGAAGGUACUAUACGAAUAAGCACCGGCUAACUCCGUGCCAGCAGCCGCGGUAAUACGGAGGGUGCAAGCGUUAUCCGGAUUUAUUGGGUUUAAAGGGUCCGUAGGCGGACUUAUAAGUCAGUGGUGAAAGCCUGUCGCUUAACGAUAGAACUGCCAUUGAUACUGUAAGUCUUGAGUAUAUUUGAGGUAGCUGGAAUAAGUAGUGUAGCGGUGAAAUGCAUAGAUAUUACUUAGAACACCAAUUGCGAAGGCAGGUUACCAAGAUAUAACUGACGCUGAGGGACGAAAGCGUGGGGAGCGAACAGGAUUAGAUACCCUGGUAGUCCACGCCGUAAACGAUGCUAACUCGUUUUUGGGCUUUAGGGUUCAGAGACCAAGCGAAAGUGAUAAGUUAGCCACCUGGGGAGUACGCUCGCAAGAGUGCAACCCAAAGGAAUUGACGGGGGCCCGCACAAGCGGUGGAUUAUGUGGUUUAAUUCGAUGAUACGCGAGGAACCUUACCAAGACUUAAAUGGGAAUUGACAGCUUUAGAAAUAGAGCUUUCUUCGGACAAUUUUCAAGGUGCUGCAUGGUUGUCGUCAGCUCGUGCCGUGAGGUGUUAGGUUAAGUCCUGCAACGAGCGCAACCCCUGUCACUAGUUGCCAUCAUUCAGUUGGGGACUCUAGUGAGACUGCCUACGCAAGUAGAGAGGAAGGUGGGGAUGACGUCAAAUCCUCACGGCCCUUACGUCUUGGGCCACGCACGUAAUACAAUGGCCGGUACAGAGGGCAGCUACACAGCGAUGUGAUGCAAAUCUCGAAAGCCGGUCUCAGUUCGGAUUGGAGUCUGCAACUCGACUCUAUGAAGCUGGAAUCGCUAGUAAUCGCGCAUCAGCCAUGGCGCGGUGAAUACGUUCCCGGGCCU
rnacentral:rRNA from 1 species